UUGAAGAAACCAACUUUGAAAUACAAACCUGCACUUCACCAGAUUGAAUGCCACCCUUACCUGACUCAAGAAGAUCUGAUCUCCUAUUGCCAUUCAAACGACAUUGUUGUGACUGCCUAUAGCCCACUGGGAUCUCCAGCUAGACCAUGGGUAAAAAAAGAUGACCCUAUACUUCUCCAGGAUCCUAACCUCAAGCGUAUAGCAUGUCAGCAUAGUAAAUCAAC